rnacentral:rRNA from 1 species
UACGUAGGGCGCAAGCGUUGUCCGGAAUUAUUGGGCGUAAAGAGCUCGUAGGCGGUUUGUCGCGUCUGCUGUGAAAACCUAAGGCUCAACCUUGGGCUUGCAGUGGGUACGGGCAGACUAGAGUGCGGUAGGGGCGACUGGAAUUCCUGGUGUAGCGGUGGAAUGCGCAGAUAUCAGGAGGAACACCGAUGGCGAAGGCAGGUCACUGGGCCGCAACUGACGCUGAGGAGCGAAAGCGUGGGGAGCGAACAGG